rnacentral:rRNA from 1 species
UAGGGAAUCUUCCACAAUGGACGCAAGUCUGAUGGAGCAACGCCGCGUGAGUGAAGAAGGGUUUCGGCUCGUAAAGCUCUGUUGGUAGUGAAGAAAGAUAGAGGUAGUAACUGGCCUUUAUUUGACGGUAAUUACUUAGAAAGUCACGGCUAACUACGUGCCAGCAGCCGCGGUAAUACGUAGGUGGCAAGCGUUGUCCGGAUUUAUUGGGCGUAAAGCGAGUGCAGGCGGUUCAAUAAGUCUGAUGUGAAAGCCUUCGGCUCAACCGGAGAAUUGCAUCAGAAACUGUUGAACUUGAGUGCAGAAGAGGAGAGUGGAACUCCAUGUGUAGCGGUGGAAUGCGUAGAUAUAUGGAAGAACACCGGUGGCGAAAGCGGCUCUCUGGUCUGUAACUGACGCUGAGGCUCGAAAGCGUGGGGAGCGAACAGGAUUAGAUACCCUGGUAGUCCACGCCGUAAACGAUGAGUGCUAGGUGUUAGGUCCUUUCCGGGACUUAGUGCCGCAGCUAACGCAUUAAGCACUCCGCCUGGGGAGUACGACCGCAAGGUUG